CACAGAGUUCCUUAUCUUGUCUUUCUGCGUCUGUUUUUACAUGAGCUAGCAGAGCAAAAGAGCAAAGCAGUAACGACCGAAAACUCCUUUUUCCCCUCUCGCCACCCAUAUUUUUGAAGCCACAGGAGAAGUCCCCUGUAGGAUCCAGCUGCUGGCUCUCUCUGGUUUUUUUUUUCUGUCUGCAGACCAGGAGGCUGGUAUGAACGCCAGAGUGGAAAGCUGCUGGCACCCAACAGAGCCACAUAUAAGGAAUGUCACGGUGGAAAGUUUUCAGGACACACUACAAGCUGUGCUGGCUCCAUCCUGCAGACAGGUAAGGCAGGCAGAUGCCCAGCAUCUCAGCACACAGGAGGACUGCAGGCUCAGGCAGGCCCUCGGGAACAGGCAGGAAGCAGAGCCAUUCCACGUCACAGCCACCGCUCCUGACAGCCCAGCUGUGCCUCGAGCUUGGACAGCCCUGGUUCUGAUGGCACAAAUGCAAACACAUUUCUGGCCAUCUCAUGUCUUCUGAGGACCUGCCACAGUCUGAGGCAGGAAGGCUAGCAGUCAGCUGCUCUUCCAUUUAGCAGAUGCCUGUGCAGACGGAAGCCUGUGGUAGGACAGCAGUGGGAUGUCCCACCAGCCAGCCAGUCAAGCUGCUGGCAGCUGCAAUCUCAGCUGUUGCUCUACAGUUGGACUGGUGACAUUUUCCAACCUAAAUGAUCUUACAAUCAGCAGUGAAGGUUUCACAUUAUUGGAUAACAGUUAAAGCCGGGCAGGAUGAGUUAUCAGAGGGGAAUAGAACCAUCACUGGUCUUCUACCAACCUACCUAACUACAAGAACCUGUAGCAGAAAAGGACAUUUUUGCUUUGUCCUGAUUUAAACCAUAUUAGUAAGCCUGCCUGACUUCCCUCUGCUCUCACCUGGAAGCAUUUUGUGUGUCUAUUUAUUUUGGGAUGCUGUUCACUGUGUGCACACUAUCAUAUGAUUCUGUAGGAAUAAUAACAACAACAACAACAACAACAACAACAACAACAACAAUUGUUAUAUGCUUACACAUAUGGUGUGAUGCUGGCACCCUGUUCCCAAAUAGCUGGAGUCAGAUGUGGAGCUCAGCAUGCUAUUUCCUGGAACAGAUCCCCAAGAACCACAGAUAACUGUCUCAAGACUGGGCACCUCUUUGGGGUUUUAUUUUUGUUUAGGAAACGUAUUUGCCAAGAAUAGGCAUAUUUGCUGAUCUGGAAUUUUCCUUGGACAUUAAAUGAGCCAAUGGCAACAACGCAAGAGUCAUCCUUGUCACAUGGGUCAACUUCAUCUCUCUUUUUAAACAAGUCACGCAUUUCCAGCCUCACAGCCCUGCCAGCUCCAUGCCCACAUCCCAGCAGCAGAGUGCCAGGCAGACUCAGUGCCUGGCAAACCCAGCCUGGUCAAAAGCAAAUGACAAAGGAGAAUACCCUUACCAAAAAAAGCAGAAGCUAUUCCAGCUUUCCAUGUGGACAGUCACAGCUGAGGAAGGGCUGGUUAUCUCUGCUGGACACAGCAGCUGGACGAGGUGUCUGCAACCCAGGAUAACUGGUAGCAGAAGGGAAGCAGCAUGCACAAGGUCUCAGCAGUGGGAAAAGAUGGGCACUCCUUCUCCUCUGCAAUCUGAAAAUUAUUUUACCACAAAUGAGAAUCACAGAAUACGCUGAGUUGGAAGGGACCCCAGGGAUCACUGAGUCCAACUCCCAGCCCUGCUCAGCGCCAUCGCCAAGAACUACACCACAUGCCUGAGAGCAUUGUCCAAAGGUUUCUUGAGCUCUGUCAGGCUGGUGCUGUGACCACUUCCCUGGCGAGCUGUUCCAGUGCCCAACCACCCUCUGGGUGAAGAAGUUUUUCCUAAUGUCCAACCUGAACCUCCACUGGCACAACUUCAGGCCAUUCCCUGAGAUCCUGUCACUGGUCAGGGAAGAGAUCAGUGCCUGCCCCUGCUUUUCCCCUCACAAGGAACUUGGGGACUGCAAGGUCUCCCCUCAAUCUCCUCCAGGCAGAACAGACCAAGAGACUUCAGCUGCUCUUCACAUGGCUUCUCCUCCAGGCCCUUAAAUCCAGAGCCUGGGAGGAUAGAGGUUUGGGUUGGGCCGUGCCAACCAACCAGAAGCAAUGCUAUUAUUGUAUGAUUCCAGUUUUUCAAACAACUCUCCUGUCCUUUGCCAUGCUCCUGGUGAAGUUCUGAUGUAGUAGACUGGAGAUGGGACCAUUACUGCCACUGGUUAUUUUUGCUGGAAAUGGCUGUUGAUAUUUUUUCAGUCUCAUUAACUCAGCCAGCAGUUUCUGGAAAACAGAAAAGUCAGUGCUUUCUCUUGAUCCUUCAAAACACAACCCAAGCUUUAGGAAGAUUGUUGUUGGAGAGUUCUGGAUCCACAGUCCUGCCCCUCCUGUUGGGGCCACUGAGGAAGCACUGCUGGCUGCAGGGUGGCCGUGCCCCUGGUACCUGUGCUCCAGCUCCAGGGAAGCAAUCUUCUACAAAGCAGUUGGUGCCAAGCACUGCCCAGGUAGCAGAGCUGUAAUAAAAGCCCUCCAGAUUCUUUUGGGGUGAGUGAAUGAACACCACUGCCUCUGAACUAAAUGCUACUUUUAAGAGGCUCAGUAGAGCUGUAGCAUUCUAUAACCCCGAUCUGAACACUGUUUCUCCUCACCCAUCUGCCCAGCUGAAAGAGAGUGGCCCCUUGCCUUCCUCAUUUUUGUAAACAAGGCUGCAACCUUUAUUCCUGCCUUGAGGAACAGACUGAAUUGCUUUUGAUGAUCCAGAACAAUGUCAUCCUUUAUUCCCUCUUCAAAAGCAAUUAGUAUUUCAGCUUGAUUAUUUGCAGAUAAUAUGAGUCACCAGAUAAAACACACUGAAUACAAAAUGCUCCUUGGGAGGGAAAGAGAUAAAUGGUAUUUAAGGUUAAAAAUCCAGCAUAUGCUUAAAUAUCACAAAACUGUCACAUAUCAAGGAAAAAAAUUCAGUCCCACUUCAUGAAACAGAAAGAUUGAUCCUGUGUUUGUUUAACCCCAAUCUCUUAAUUAAUUUGUUGCAGGAUCAGGACACCAUGACACCAAAGGCAGAUUGUGUCACUGUCAAGAACAAGUUUGGUGCAACACAAUUUCAGAGUUGUCAAACUACCCAAAAUUUCAGGCCAAAUAUGUAAUUUAAUCUUAAAAAGACAAUUUUGGAAUUUUCUUCUCUUAUUUCUUUUCUGAUUUCUAGAUUGGUGUAUUGCAGCUCGUUGGUAUUUUCAGCUCUUUUACCCAGAAACCCAAGGCUAGAAGCUGACUCAUUCUUAAUAGAAUGUACAAAUCUCACAGGAGCAGCAUUAUUUCAGGAACUCACAUUUUAAUGGGAACAUCAAAUCUAUCUGGCAUUAUGAUAAGGUCAUCAGAAAUUAGCAAUACUGAAGGUUUAUCCUGGGUUUGCUUCUAACACAGAUGAUGGCUGAUAUAUUAUUUCUCAGUACUGCUGUUGCCAAGUAGCUUCAUUGGCAAACUUUAAAGUAUAUAUAGAAAUGGAGUUUUGUGAAAAUGUAGACCAAAAAUAAAGUUUGAUUUUCUCUUUUUCUGAAAAGAAAAUUAAUUUCUGAGAGCUUUCAUAUACAACAUCUCAAAAGGGUGUAUGUGUUUUCACUUCAACCUUUCCCUAGAUUGGAAAUAAAAUUCCCUAGAUUCCAUGGCUGGAACAGCCAUGAACUGCCAGCCUUUGCUGGAAGGAUUCUUCCUUCCCCCUGGGAUGUACAUCACUGUGUGCAGAACUGCUGUGGCCUUCUACAGAGUGUUUUAUAUUUACAUUAGCAUUGAUUCAAGACUUUUUUUAGUUUUUAGCAUUGAUACAAGACUUUUUUUCUCUCUAAAUUACUGAUACCUGUACUUUCACAUCCCCAAAAGGAAACUUUUUUAAAUAAAGGGGUGCUUGCCACUGAAGCAGUGUGGUGAAAUGCAAAGAGAAUUGUGGCUCAAAAUAAUUUUAUCUCCAGAUUGCCUAUGAAUAGCCAUGCUGAGAUGGAAUUAGAAAUUCCAUGUAAAGUGGAAGUGCUUUCCUCUGGGCUUUAG